GACGAACGCUGGCGGCGUGCUUAACACAUGCAAGUCGAACGGUGAAAGCGGAGCUUGCUCCGCUGGAUCAGUGGCGAACGGGUGAGUAACACGUGGGCAACCUGCCCCUCACUUCGGGAUAACUCCGGGAAACCGGGGCUAAUACCGGAUAUGACCUCCUUGGGCAUCCUUGGAGGUGGAAAGUUUUUCGGUGAGGGAUGGGGCCGCGGCCUAUCAGCUUGUUGGUGGGGUGAUGGCCUACCAAGGCGACGACGGGUAGCCGGCCUGAGAGGGUGACCGGCCACACUGGGACUGAGAUACGGCCCAGACUCCUACGGGAGGCAGCAGUGGGGAAUAUUGCACAAUGGGCGCAAGCCUGAUGCAGCGACGCCGCGUGAGGGAUGACGGCCUUCGGGUUGUAAACCUCUUUCAGCAUCGACGAAGCGAAAGUGACGGUAGGUGCAGAAGAAGGACCGGCCAACUACGUGCCAGCAGCCGCGGUAA
rnacentral:rRNA from 1 species